GGGGUCUUGUGUCAAAAAUGCCCUUUCCUCUCGCUUUUUGCCUAAAGCUAUAAGGUACCCUGUCGCCUGUCGCCUUUCGCCUUAAUAAUACUAGUGUUUUUUACUAAUAAAUUCAUAAGAUGGAUCCUUGUAUAUAUAAAUUGUAUGCAACUGAUUUGUUGAGUGGGUUUGGAAGUUUCAAAAUCCUUUUUGACAGAUGGAGUUUCAAGGGAACACCUAAUUUUGGUACCAUUUACCAUUUGUUUGUGUUUAAUUGUGUAAAUUGAAUUAUUUGGAUAUAAAAUUUAUCAUUUAAUUAUGAUGGAGGAAAGAAAGAAUCAUGUGGUGUUGUUAUAUGUAUCAAAUGUGUUAUGUCUUUGUUUUGUUGAGAGAAUGAAAUUGAGUGAAACUAAAAAAGAUUAAGUACAGCUCCAAUGUUUUGGUUCUUGUAUUUUGAAGGCAAAGGGAGAUGGAUCUGCACUUUCUAUGAACCUGUGAAAAUUUGUUUUGGUGACACAUAUGGCUUUGGAUGGGUAUAGGAAAUGACCAUGUGUGAUCUGCUCUAGGAAUGGAAUUAUUCAGCCAUAUGAUGAUUCCUUACUUUGUAUUAAGGGUGUGCGGUUCCAGUUCGGUUUAGGGUCUACAUAGAAAUCGGAACCGGACCAAAAUUUCGUUGUGGUUCCCGUUCGGAUCUUCAUUGUUUUGGCUCUAGUUCAAUAUGGUUCUCAGUUCUUCAGUUCCGGUUUGAUUCGGUACGGUUUCAGUUCAAUUCUCGGUUCUUGAAACAAUUUUAUGUAAUUAUUUCCUUAAAAUGUCACAUUUAGUAUUUAAGUUUUGAAUUGGGUUAUU
rnacentral:misc_RNA from 1 species